UUCACCACAUCCAAUCAUUUUGUCAUAUACUAAAAAGGAGGUUUGCGAAUUAUCACUCAAAUUUAAAGUACUUGAUAUAAUUAUCACCAGCAGAAAUGGCAUACUCUAAACAUAUUUUAAACCAAACUUUCCUGUACAAAACUGGCCUGAAAGAAAUAUUUAAUAAGGAGUUUAGAAGGAAGAUUCUGGAAACAAUCACCUUCUUUUCUUGACACAGUCUUCCCCUAACCCCACAUAAGAACCACUCUGGCCUCUCCCCACAAAAAGUAAGUACUACAUAUAUUCCUGAGUUUUGCAUUGCUAAGCCUCAUAAUCUUUAAAUCUAGAAUUUAAGGUCUCUGGAAUAGAGUACUUUACCUUUUGUUAAUUGUUAUCUCUGUUGCUUAAAAGAGUGCUAGCUCACACCAGGACCACCCU
rnacentral:lncRNA from 1 species